AUUGAACGCUGGCGGCAGGCCUAACACAUGCAAGUCGAACGAGUGGCGGACGGGUGAGUAAUGUCUUGGACCCUGCCCGAUGGAGGGGGAUCACUACUGGACACGGUAGCUAAUACCGCCUACCAUCGGAUGUGCCCAGAUGGGAUUAGCUAGUAGGUGGUGUAAAGGCUCACCUAGGAGACGAGCCCUAGCUGGUCUGAGAGGAUGACCAGCCACACUGGAACGGAGCCACGGUCCAGACUCCUACGGGAGGCAGCAGUGGGGAAUAUGGCACAAUGGGCGCAAGCCUGAUGCAGCCAUGCAGCGUGUAUGAAGAAGGCCUUCGGGUGGUAAAGUACUUUCAGCGAGGAGGCGUUACUCGCAGAAGAAGCACCGGCUAACUCCGUGCCAGCAGCCGCGGUAAUUC
rnacentral:rRNA from 1 species